CUUGCUAGGUGGAUUAGUGGCGCACGGGUGAGUAAUAUAUAGAUAACGUGCCUCUUAGUCUGGGAUAGCCAUUGGAAACGAUGAUUAAUACUAGAUACUCCUUCUAACUCUAAUGUUAGUCGGGAAAGUUUUUCGCUAAGAGAUCGGUCUAUAUCCCAUCAGCUAGUUGGUAGUGUAAGAGACUACCAAGGCAAUGACGGGUAGCGGGUUUGAGAGGAUGAUCCGCCACACUGGUACUGAGACACGGACCAGACUCCUACGGGAGGCAGCAGUGAGGAAUAUUGCACAAUGGAGGAAACUCUGAUGCAGCAACGCCGCGUGGAGGAUGACGCAUUUCGGUGUGUAAACUCCUUUUAUAUGUCAAGAAAAUGACGGUAGCAUAUGAAUAAGCACCGGCUAACUCCGUGCCAGCAGCCGCGGUAAUACGGAGGGUGCAAGCGUUAUUCGGAAUCACUGGGCGUAAAGGACGCGU
rnacentral:rRNA from 1 species